CUCCAGAUGUUGCUGAACUACAACUCCCAUGAUUCUCAGCCUAUUUCAUUGAAUCAUGGGAGUUGUAGUUCAGCAACAUCUGGAG